ACAGUGGACGCGAGCAUCUGUGGCCAAGUUUUUAAGGGCGCACGGUGGAUGCCUUGGCACCAGGAACCGAUGAAGGACGUGGGAGGCCACGAUAGUCCCCGGGGAGCCGUCAACCAGGCUUUGAUCCGGGGGUUUCCGAAUGGGGAAACCCGGCAGUCGUCAUGGGCUGUCACCCAUGCCUGAACACAUAGGGCAUGUGGAGGGAACGAGGGGAAGUGAAACAUCUCAGUACCCUCAGGAAGAGAAAACA
rnacentral:rRNA from 1 species